CCCCGGCUUCCUUGCUUGUUGCAUCUCUUCUCUCCAUGCCGUCAUCGUCAUCAAUCCGCUCACGUUCCCUGGCCGCCCCUUACCCCUAUUAAGUCUCCUGCUUGACUGCCCGGUUUCGGUGCGCACAAGUGAGAAGUGAAAGCAGCAGCGAGAGGGAGCAAUGAGAGAGCCCUCGAUCGGAACGUUUCUGCUCCUCACUUCGCCAUGGGCGUUGUUCUACUUGCACCUUGUUGUCACAGCCUCCUACGAGGGACCCUGGUACGAUUAUUCUGCUUACACCGAGUGUAAAUAUCAUCCUGAAGCUCCUCUUUACAAUGGAGGAGUUCUGGUGGACCGAAGUGGAAGAAUCCCCGUGGCAUACCACAAGACCGAGACUGGUGUUUAUGCUCCUGCCUUUCUGCUGUACAAUCUGACAGAGACCACGAGAUACAGUUUCUCUUGUUGGGUUAAAGCUAAGGGAACGGGUUCAGCUCUUGUGCGGGCGACGUUAUCUGCAGAGGGUUCGACGUUGAAUUGUAUCGGGACUGUCCUGGCGAGAAGCGGUUGCUGGUCAUUUCUCAAGGGUGGUUUCGUGCUUGAUUCCUUUUCCAGGUCCUCUGUUCUUUAUCUUCAGGAUGUUGAUGAGAAGAUGACUGAGAUUUCAGUUGCGAGUGCUUCGUUGCAGCCGUUCUCGGUCGAGCAGUGGUCGAUGCACCAACAGGACAGUAUUAGAACGAGAAGAAAGCGUGCGGUCACGAUUCAUGUUUCAGAUGAACAAGGGAACCUCGUCGGUGGAGCAUCAGUCUCGAUACGGCAAUCGUCGAGAGACUUCCCGCUUGGUUCGGCAAUCGCCAACACCAUCCUGGGAAACAAGCAGUAUCAGGAAUGGUUCGCCGAGCGAUUCAAUGCUGCGGUGUUCGAGAACGAGCUGAAGUGGUACGCAACAGAGCCGGAGCCGGGGAGACUCAACUACACUCUUGCAGAUGAGAUGCUGGAGUUCGUCGUGUCCAACCAGAUCAUAGCCCGAGGGCACAACAUCUUCUGGGAAGACCCAAUCUACACGCCGUCGUGGGUCCGGAAGCUCAGCGGCGACGACCUCCGAGCGGCCGUCAGGUCUCGGAUUGAGAGCCUGUUGUCCAGGUACAGGGGCCAAUUUGUGCACUGGGACGUCAGCAACGAGAUGCUUCACUUCGACUUCUACGAGCAGCGGCUUGGAUCCAAUGCCUCCUCAGAAUUCUUCCGCACGGCACAACAAUCUGACCCGCUCGCGACGUUGUUCAUGAAUGAGUUCAACGUCGUGGAGACCUGCAGCGACGCGAGAUCCACCGUCGACUCCUAUAUUUCAAGGCUUAAGGAGCUAAAAAAUGGAGGGGCCGUUUUGGAAGGGAUCGGACUGGAAGGACACUUCUGGAGGCCAAACAUUCCGCUGAUGAGAGCCGUGCUCGACAAAUUAUCUACUUUGGAGUUGCCCAUUUGGCUGACGGAGAUCGACAUAAGCAAGAAGGUCGAUGCGCAAGAACAGGCUCUGUAUCUCGAGGAGGUGCUGAGAGAAGGAUUCUCCCACCCGUCCGUGGGCGGCAUCAUCUUGUGGACCGCACUCCAUCCAAAUGGCUGCUACCAAAUGUGCCUCACUGACCAAAGUUUCGGCAAUCUCCCUACGGGAGAUGCGGUGGACGAGCUCUUGAAAGAGUGGGAAACGACGGAGGGAGGGUUGACGGAUGAGCACGGACAAUAUAGCUUCAUUGGAUUCUUAGGGGAGUACAAGGUGUCUGUGGUGGCCGGAAACAAGUCCACAGAGACUUCACUGUUCCUUAGCCGAGGAGGCGAGACUAAGCACGCUACUGUUCAUCUUUAAGGUUGAUUUCCCUCAAGAAGCUUCAUGCUUGCUUCAAUGGGUUUGUUCUUGCUGGUGUUGGCAAGCAGCAGCAAAACAGAAUACAUGCAUCUUCACCGGACAGGCCACAAGAUUUGCAGUGGAAAGCAUUACUAGCAGUGUAAAGCAUUGGCUACUUAUGAACAUGUAGAUCACUGAAUGAGGUGUGUAAACUGAUCUUUUGAAGCAGCAAACGAUUUCCGCUAGAUUUUGCAUUACUUUUCAGAGUCUUCGGGAAUGGUGUGGAGAGGUGGCGGAGUUGGUGCCGUUGUGGAACGAAGCUGAGUCAAAGGUGCCGAGCAUUUCGACGAUGACUAGCUAGCUGACAUGACGGGGUCAGACGGAGGGGUUCCGUCAUCUAGAGGUGACAGUUUGUGUCACCGCCCACCUAACAGUCUGAGCUCCAAUCGCCGGGCCGGGGAUGGUGCGCGGCCGUCCCUUACGAACCAUGGCGCCGAAGGUUGGACUUUUUGCCUGCCACCAGCUUUGGCCGCUGCCAUCUGAACAUGUCUGGCUCAUAUCCGUAAGAAAGAUGGAACAAAUCCUAUCUUAAGGCCUGGCGAUUGUGCGGCCUCCCUCCUCUUUAUCUUCUCCUCUUGCGAACCAUGACGCCGAGGGUUGAGGUGGACCUUUUGCCUACCACCAGCUUUGGCCGCUGCCAUCUUAACAUGUCUAGCUCAUAUCCGUAUCAAAGAUGGAACAGAUCCUAUCUCAAGGGUUUCGGCAAGUCGAGAGAUGGUCCUGCUUAUCGUCAGCUGCUCUGUCCCUUCAGGAGUCCCACGAUUUUCCAAUCCAACAUCGUUCUCAACCGCUGGAAAUGCAUUACUCCAACAUCCUCAUAUUUCUUUCAACCAAGUGCAGUCCAACGAGCCGAAACAGCCGGAGGAGGACCUCACUCCUUCGUGUUCGUUCAUGUCUUGUUCCGCGGACGUGGUGAUCUCUUAAAGGGGCCGAACUCCAUGUUUCAGAUAAACGCCAUAGUUACAGGCAUGUGGAGGCACAUGGAGAUGGACCUAAUCGUUGUUUCACGAAAAGCGACUUUUCUGACGAGAAUAUAUGUUGAUUGAUGCCCUGCCGGACGCAAGCAGCAAAAGUAGACAAGGCAUCCAUAUGCACGCAGCUUCAACGUGGCUAAAAGCCUGCAGAUAACUUCUCUUUGGUGUAAAAGAAGUCCGUCCCAGUACAAAGCUCCCGUUGAUGCCGCUUCGAUCGAUGUGAUAAGAUGAAGACGACGAAUCCUGGAAUUC